GGCGGGCUGGCAGAAUGGUAAUGCGUAGCUCUCCUAUGAUUGGUCCAUCACCACAUAGGUCCAAGCUAAGCUAAGAUUGUGGGUUCGAGUCCCACGUCCGUCG